CGGAAGAAGCAAUCCUUUGAAAACGUCCAAGACACUCGUGUCGGUGUUUCAUACUAUGAUGAACACAAAUGAACACCACACAAGUAAGGUUGGCUAGAAUGCUUACUCUAUGUCAUCGAUUGACCUACAGAUGGGAAGAAUGCUUCCCGCGUCCUCGUCCCAGAGCCCCUCGUUCACUUAGAGAGUACCCAAUGGGAUUUUUCAAUCCCUGUUGUCUUUGUUUAUGGUUACAUACGGGCAAAUGCGGAGAAAAAUCGUUCAUAUUACACUAAAAAACAGGUAAAUUGUCAGGCUCAGGCCUUGAGGCAGUCCUUCUAGUGUGGUAGAUUACUCAGUGUGGCCAGGGAUGGGGAAGAGAGACAUUUGCAGUCUGUAAAGGUGUAAGUGACCGCGAACACCACUUUAUUCAGGACAUAUCCGUUUAUUGAUCUCCGUAAUUCUCCCGCCUUAAUAUCUGAUAUGGCCCUAAUACGAUGCUCUAUACGUCGCAUGGAUAUCAACCAUUGACGAAUGAUGGAGGAAACAAACAUAUCUGGUGCUGAUUCAGCAGCUUCUCAAGCGGUCAGUUUCGCCAUUUGCGGUCCACGUUUGAACUUCACUCAAGUUAGUUUCAGCCUUAUAAGGUGACGAGCCAACAAGAUGCUAUCAUCAUCAUGCAAAAUUGCAUAGGUGAUAUCCGCCUAUGGAUGGAGCACGAUAAACUCCUCAACGAUGAAAAAACGGAGUUUCUUAUUCUAGGGACCCGGCAGCAACUGUCAAAAAUUAACGUCUCUUCGAUUACUGUUGGAAGUUCCCAGGUUGAAAGAUCAUUUGUUGUCAAAAACCAUGGUACUUUUCUUGACGACAAACCAUCUAUGAAUGCUCAUAUAAAUAAAGUUUGUAAUGUAUCAUUUUAUUAUAUUCAUAAUAUCUGGCGCAUUAGGAAGUACUUAUCGCCAAACUCUACAGAGACUUUGAUCCAUGCUUUUAUUACCAGCAGAUUGGAUUACUGUAACAGCUUGCUUUAUGGUACACCUCAAGUACAAAUUGACAAGCUACAAAGGGUUCAAAAUGCAGCCGAUAGGCUAAUCUUUAAACAACCUAAGUUUAGCCAUAUUACACCACUGUUAUGCCAGCUUCACUGGUUACCAAUUAGGUACCGUAUAGAAUUUAAGAUUAUUUUAUAAUGUUUUAAGCCAAUGCACGGUAUGGCAUCCGGCUAUAUGUGUAAGCUUAUUAGCUUUAAAAUUCGCACUAAAUAUGAGCUAAGGUCGAAUGAAAAACUUCUGCUCAAGGUCCCGAGUGGUAAGAUGUUACCCACUUUGGGAGCGAGGGCAUUCUCCUAUGCUGCACCACGUCUCUCGAAUGACUUACCAAGUAACAUCACUGGCCUUCACUCCUUCUCUAGUUUGAAACGUAAUCUUAAAACCUACCUUUUUACCCGGGCUUUUAAUCUCCCAUCUCAUUAGCUUAAUGCUUUUUAAUAUUCUAUCUCAUUUUGUUAGGGCUUUUUACUUUCUUAUCUCAUUA